GAUGAACGCUGGCGGCGUGCCUAACACAUGCAAGUCGAGCGAUUUACAUCGGUAAAGAGCGGCGGACGGGUGAGUAACGCGUGGGUAACCUGCCCUGUACACACGGAUAACAUACUGAAAGGUAUGCUAAUACGAGAUAAUAUGCUUUUAUCGCAUGGUAGAAGUAUCAAAGCUUUUGCGGUACAGGAUGGACCCGCGUCUGAUUAGCUAGUUGGUAAGGUAACGGCUUACCAAGGCGACGAUCAGUAGCCGACCUGAGAGGGUGAUCGGCCACAUUGGAACUUAGACACGGUCCAAACUCCUACGGGAGGCAGCAGUGGGGAAUAUUGCACAAUGGGCGAAAGCCUGAUGCAGCAACGCCGCGUGAGCGAUGAAGGCCUUCGGGUCGUAAAGCUCUGUCCUCAAGGAAGAUAAUGACGGUACUUGAGGAGGAAGCCCCGGCUAACUACGUGCCAGCCGCCGCCGUAA
rnacentral:rRNA from 1 species